GUUAAAAUUCCAUUUAGAUAGAUAGCCAUGUAGAGUAUUUGUGGAAUACAGAAGUAAUAUUCGGUCAUUAAUAACUCUACAUGAUACCUUUGAAUAUAACUAAUAAAGGUAAUAUAUAUAUAUGGUUAUUAACUCUCAUGCAUAUUUUGCUCAAGCAAAAAGAAAAAAAAAAGAAAGAAAAACAAGAGCAAAUUGAGUUUGAUGAAGCAAAACAAAAGAGCUGAAAAAUGAGUAGCAGAUCCCUCUAUUAAUCAUAGACCAAUAAGGACUCUCCUCCUAGCAAAACCUCAAGGACUGGCACUGUUUUUGUAGCCUGAUCUGAUAUUUAUUAUAAACUUUGUAGACUUUUCUUUAGAGUUUGUUUAUAAAAUUAAGGUUGCCGGUGUCCUUGCUUUUGCUAUAAUUUUACUGAAGUCUUCAAAAUGAACUGGAGAUGCCUGAAUCAUGAUGUAUAUCAUCUAAUUGGUUAGUUAAAGUUGAAUUAGUGUUUCUGGCCACUUGAAUCUUAUUGUUGCUAUCUCAGAUGCUGAACAGAGAAAAGUAGAUACCUGGCACUUCAUGUAAACAGCCCCUUGGCUGGGUUUACUUCCCAGUGCUGAUGGGCAAGUAUUACAUUCUCAAGAUGGUGGAGAUAGUCCAAUUCUCAGUCUCUUUAAAUUAGUCACUGCUGCAAUAUUAUCUAAGCCAGGGAAAUCAAAUCCUUGUUUCCUACCGAUUGCAGUCCAUUCUAAGCUGGUUUUGGAAAUAGAGAUACAGAUGAAGUUAGCUACCUUAAGGUCGGAAUUCCACUAGGAAAAAUCUUCAUUAUCAAUCCCAAGGGAGAGGUUGCUGUUAACUGCUGUGUUGACACAUAAUCAUACAAAUCAAUUCAUGCUCUUGUUAACGGCAUGUUUCCAUCCACGAGUUCUUUCGAGCAGGUUCGGCUUCUAUUACCAUGUCCUAUUAUGCUGUUGUGACUUCUUUGCAUAGGA